AUGGACACAAGAGGGGGUAGCUGUGGAGCGUCACGGACGGUGGAGCAGACUUUGGUGGGGAUCUGGCCACCAGAGACCUACGCGCGAAAGGAUUCGCGCCUGCUACCGCUUCGUUGGUUUUUAGCCACAAUUCUUCACCCAGGGUUGCCAAAGGCGCGCCAUGCGUAAAGGAAAGAGGCGACUCCAGGUAGACCGUAGGUUGCGCCGGUUGUACGCCUGGUGGCUGGUCGGUGGGGGCCACUUUCUGUAGCCCAUGCCGUUGCAUGUCGGUCAUCGAGGCGGAUUCGUGGCGAGUUCCCUCGAUGGCCAAGUAUUUCUCCUUGACGGGAUGGGGGUUAUCCCGCCCCUGCUCGGUCACCAGAGCCCCACUGGGAUGCACCGCCGAUGCGGUAGGGGUUGGAAUAUAGCCCGUCCGGCCUUUAUAUAAACUCGCUUAAGAACCCAGCCAAAAUAUGUUUUGAUCCUAAAAGGCUGCACCAGGAUUUGGAGUAUUAGGUCCGAAUUACCGGGAGGUCCUAAAAGUAUGCAGCACCAGCGCUGCAAUUUACCAAGCCUUGAACCGCCCUCUGGUGUCAAAGCCUGGCACUCUCUUGAGGAGCGGCUGGGUGGCCACCAGAUGGUACAAUGCAACCCUGCGUAAGCUGGGCAGCCAGCUGUUGUGAAUGCAACUGUGCGACUGCCUAUAGCGCGUGGGCGGAGCAACAGCGAAAAUAAAAACAAAAAGUAUACUCACGCUAGGCCUGCUUGACCAGCGCUAGUACGUCUCAGUAGGGAUCAAAGUUCAGGGGUCAAAGUCCAGACGCCGGACCACCAAACCACAAAGAUGGGGCAGGAGUGGCACCCGACCAGGCUUGUGUCACAGACAGGGGACGUACCUAAAUCAUGGCAACAACAACAACCUGUCGGAUGGGUCGGAGGCGUAUACGGACAUAAUACAAUAAUGUUUAUUGUCGGUGCUUUCUUAGCGUUGUAAUUAUAACGUAUUGUACAGGGUAUAAUAACAUACUAUU